rnacentral:rRNA from 1 species
GACGAACGCUGGCGGCGUGCCUAAUACAUGCAAGUAGGACGCAGUUGCGAACGGGUGAGUAACGCGUAGGUAACUACCUAUUAGAGGGGGAUAACUAUUGGAAACGAUAGCUAAUACCGCAUACUAGUAGAUGGUCCUGAGUUGUAUUAGCUAGUAUGUAGGGUAAUGGCCUACCUAGGCAACGAUACAUAGCCGACCUUGGCGGGUGAUCGGCCCAACUGGUACUGAGACACGGCCCAGACUCCUCCGGGGUGCCGCGGUAGGGAGUCGUCGGCAAUGGGGGGAACCCUGACCGAGCAACGCCGCGGGAGUGAAGAAGGUUUUCGGAUCGUAAAGCUCUGUUGUUAAGGAAGCGGUACUUAACCAGAAAGGGACGGCUAACUACGUGCCAGCAGCCGCGGUAAUUC